rnacentral:rRNA from 1 species
GGUACUCGAGUGGCGAACGGGUGAGUAACACGUGGGUGAUCUGCCCUGCACUUUGGGAUAAGCCUGGGAAACUGGGUCUAAUACCGAAUAGGACUCCGGACUGCAUGGUCUGGGGUGGAAAGCUUUUGCGGUGUGGGAUGGGCCCGCGGCCUAUCAGCUUGUUGGUGGGGUGAUGGCCUACCAAGGCGACGACGGGUAGCCGGCCUGAGAGGGUGUCCGGCCACACUGGGACUGAGAUACGGCCCAGACUCCUACGGGAGGCAGCAGUGGGGAAUAUUGCACAAUGGGCGCAAGCCUGAUGCAGCGACGCCGCGUGAGGGAUGACGGCCUUCGGGUUGUAAACCUCUUUCGCCAGGGACGAAGCGCAAGUGACGGUACCUGGAGAAGAAGCACCGGCCAACUACGUGCCAGCAGCCGCGGUAAUACGUAGGGUGCGAGCGUUGUCCGGAAUUACUGGGCGUAAAGAGCUCGUAGGUGGUUUGUCGCGUUGUUCGUGAAAACUCACAGCUUAACUGUGGGCGUGCGGGCGAUACGGGCAGACUGGAGUACUGCAGGGGAGACUGGAAUUCCUGGUGUAGCGGUGGAAUGCGCAGAUAU